AUGAUCCAAGGAUUAUGAUUAAUCCACUUUUGUGCACCUGA
rnacentral:snoRNA from 1 species